UGAGCAGACAGUUAGUUGGACAGCUACCCUGCAGCUCUGGACAGCAUCUGCAUUUCAGAGGACUUCAAGAGAGGCCAAAUGGUGUAAAGAGAUGGACAUAUGUAUUUUGAAGGGAAGGCUGGAGGAAAGUACUUUCCAGGUAUGAAUAACAGCAUGUGCAAAGGCCCUGGGGUUUUUACUCAGUGGAGGGGAAUGGCCAGCCAGGAUGAUUAGACAGAGAGGGCAGAUGGAGCUGAACAGGGCCUUUCCCUGCCUGCCUGGUCUGGCCGGUUCUCUCAGGAGACACCCUCUUAAAAUGUUGUAAUCGUUGUUGAGCUUUCUGUGCCAACUCCAGCAGCCUAGAGGCUACAGUAUGCUUUAAAAUUCUAUUUUCUGGGAGCUUCCUUGUGUUCAGCCCAAACCUUUUUUGCUUUUGUGUCUGUAACAAGACCCCACCCCCACCCCCAGGGGCUCCAUGAUUUUCUUCCAACAGCAAUUUGUUUGCCAGGCCUAUAAUUGGGAAACAGGGCCUCAUUUCCUCUUCCUAGCUUCCUAGGCCUUAGGUGUCUCCUUCUACCCAAGGAAGUUUGGGAAAAGUAGGGCACACACAGGGUGUAGCCAGUAUGGGCUUCCCCCAGCUCAGCAUAUAUAAGGAUGUGUAGGUGUCACUGGUAAUGUAUAUACAUUUGUGCUGUCUGGGAGGUGCUCUAGCCCCCACACAAGGCACUUGCCUGUGACGUCACCCCGACUAGCCCAGAUUGGGGCUUAUUUCAGGCAACACUCAUGCUUCAACCUUAGCUUAUACCAAGCCUGUUCCUGGAGUCAAGGAAAGACUGCCCAGCUGCCCCUCUGGCCUGUGGGCCUGAUCUCAUAUUGCGUUUAAUAACUACUUAGAACAGUGGUAAGCAUAUUGUGAGCUUCUUCUUUUUUUUAAUUUAUUUUUUAUUAGGUAUUUUCCUCGUUUACAUUUUCAAUGCUAUCCCAAAAGUCCCCCAUACCCACCCCCCAAUCCCCUACACACCCACUCCCCCUUUUUGGCCCUGGGGUUCCCCUGUACUGGGGCAUAUAAAGUUUGCAAGUCCAAUGGGCCUCUCUUUGCAGUGAUGGCUGACUAGGCCAUCUUUUGAUACAUAUGCAGCUAGAGACAAGAGCUCCGGGGUACUGGUUAGUUCAUAUUGUUGUUCCACCUAUAGGGUUGCAGAUCCCUUUAGCUCCUUGGGUACUUUCUCUAGCUCCUCCAUUGGGGGCCGUGUGAUCCAUCCAAUAGCUGACUGUGAUCAUCCACUUCUGUGUUUGCUAGGCCCCGGCAUAGUCUCACAAGAGACAGCUAUAUCUGGGUCCUUUCAGCAAAAUCUUGCUAGUGUAUGCAAUGGUGUCAACGUUUGGAAGCUGAUUAUGGGAUGGGUCCCUGCAUAUGGCAAUCACUAGAUGGUCCAUCCUUUCGUCGCAGCUCCAAAUUUUGUCUCUGUAACUCCUUCCAUGAGUGUUUUGUUCCCAUUUCUAAGAAGGGGCAAAGUGUCCACACUUUGGUCUUCGUUCUUCUUGAAUUUCAUGCGUUUAGCAAAUUGUAUCUUAUAUCUUGGGUAUCCUAAGUGAGCUUCUUUAUUUACAGUUACCAUGUGGGUCCUAGAGAUAGAAUUCGGGCCAUCAGGUUUAACAGCAAGUACCUUUACCCACAGAACUACCUCACUUUCUCUGUUUUCUGUUUUUAGUUAUUUUGUACAAGUUUGUCAAAGCCAGGCUCAUCUUGAGUUUAGCUAUUCUCCUGACUCAGCAACUCAGCCUUGCUGGGAUUAAAAAUGUGAGCUACUGUGCUUCCCGGCUAGGUCGGAAUUUGUUUUAGGGUGCUGUCUCUGAUAGGUUAGUGGGUAGAAUACUUUUUAGGGAGCAGCCCUAAGGUCAGCAUUGUGGAAGCAACAGGAAGGAGAUGGGAGUGCGAACAGCCUCAGACAACUUCCAGGGAACUGUGUUGUGCAGUGCUAUCCUGGAAUGGAUGUUCAUUGUUCUGCAAAACGUUCAUCCUCAGCCUCCUGGCUCUUUGUGAGCUGACGGACUGGCAGAUGGAUUUCUAUUUACACUUCUUCCAGAAGUGAUGACAAGUCUUUCCUUGAACAGGAAGCAGGUACGCUGCUAUGUUCACUGCAUUUUUCUUCAGGUAUGGUCUUGCUUGUAGAACCCAGGCUGGCCUUAAACUUGAGGCCUCCCCAGCCUCCCAAGAAUUGAGACAUCCAGUGGGCACCACUGCACCAAGCUCUUUAGGAAAAAUAGAGGGCACUUAAAACACAAAAGGACAAAAAUGCUGUGUGGUUGAAAUGGGAGAUGUGAUUAUAAGGGCAAUCACAGUAUGGUUGAGUGGUAAUGGAGCUGCUGCGAUUAAGAGGCAGCUGUGGCUGAGCUCUAUAGUAGCUAAAGUAGUGACUCUCAAUGUUUGCUAACUAGUUCUGUGGAAAGGGAAUAACAUUUUCCUGGAAUUAAAUUAUAAGAAAAUAUUCUCACAUGACUAUGUAUGUGAUUAAAAUAACAGAGGGCAUUCUUAGCAGGCUAGUACCAAGUGCUAACACACUUUUCUUCGUUAUAAUGAUUGACUCUAGAAGUCAUCAUGUCAGAGCAUAGUGAUGUUCCGUUCACAGAGGGAGACAAAGACUUAGACUUGAAGUGUCUGCUUAAUCCAUUCAUCAAGCUGUGUUCCGUCCCUUAUUUCCUCUGCUGUUAACUGUACAUGCAGCAAGCACUUCCUAAGUGCACACCUCAGUGAACCUGCAGUAUAAGCCCUUGUCCUCUGACCUGCAAACCUAUCUAGGGCCCCAUCCCUUCUGACAUCAUAACCUCCGGGCUCCUUUCCUUAAGUCAGUUGCAUUCUCAGUCCCUUAAAGGAACUUUAGGGGUUUUGUUUGUUUUUACUCAAGUUAAAAAUCGUACCUGCUGGGUGGUGGUGGCACACCUUUAAUCCCAGCACUUGGGAGGCAGAGGCAGGCAGAUCUUUAUGAGUUUGAGGCCAGCCUGGUCUGCAGAGCAAGUUCCAGGAUAGCCAAGGGUACACAGAGAAACCCUGUCUUGUAGAACAAAAGCUCCAUAACUCACAUCUAUGCCAACAGUUCCCAACAACCUCUUGUGUCCACAGCCCUGGCUGCCUCACUACUGACUGUUCCCAUUAGCUCUCUUCAGCCAGGAACGGCCGGUACAGUGCUUGUUUCACUGAGGUCAAGCAUGUGGUGCUGAAGACAGGGGAAACUGAGACCAGCAUGGACUUGCUUUUACUCUCGCCCCCUUUGUUCCAGCACACAUCCCUACUGUGCCUUCUAGAGAAUCUCAGCAGGGCAGGAACACAGCAAGCCUGUUCAGAAACAGGCCAUGCUUGGUCUGACAAAGGCACAGGGAGCAAGAAGGACCUUAUCUAGAUUCUUUAGUGAUUAUGGGAAGAGAACAAAGUGAGAGGUGCUGUGUAUUCAUGACAAACAGCCUCUCCAAAUGAGGUAACUAUUCCUUUCACAAUAAGGUCACCCCAAGGUAUUUUGUGGAGUGUUUCUGCAAAGGAAGUACAAAGGUUUAAAGAUGAAUGAUUAAAAUGCCAAGUAUGUGUUCAGUGGCACGUGUAUACUUUGAAUAGGAUUGUUAAAAACUAUUUAUAAAUAUUGAUUCCCUACAUUCAGUCCUAUCAGUAAACUUUGCAUGAAUCUUUGAGUCUGUCUUUUUCUCUUUUUAAAGACUUAUUCAUUUAUUAUAGAUGAGUACACUGUUGCUGUCUUGAGGCACACCAGAAGAGGGCAUCAGAUAUUAUUACAGGUGGUUGUGAGCCACCAUGUGGUUGCUGGGAAUUCAGGACUCUUAUCUGCUGAGCCAUCUCUCCAGCCUUGAGUCUGUCUUUUUCACCAUGAGAGAACCAUCCAAUGUUAUCAAAGCACAUCGUCCCCACUGCUUCUGAAAGCCCAGACUUAUUGAAGAAUAAUUUACACGUAAGCUGUACCUACCUUUUAAAAAUUACUUUGUGUAUGAGUGCUUUGCCUGUGUAUACGCAUGCACACCAGUUGUGUGCCCGGUGCACAGUGGUCAGGAGAGAUUACUGGAUCACCUGGAAUUGUUACUUGGUUGGCUGUGAGCCACCAUGUAGUUGUUAGGUUCCAAACACCAAUCCUCUGCAAGAGUAACAAGUGUUCUUAACCCCUUAAGCAUCUCUCUAGCCCUAAGAUGCACCCAUCUUACGUGUGAAGUUUGAGUUUGAAAAAUAUACUCCUUGUAACUUCUACCCAGACAGUAUAUAGGGCAGAUCUGCGGUCACUGGGAAUUUUAAUUUAAGCAUAAUUGCCUUAAUUUAAACAUCCAGGCUGGCCUCGAACUCAGAGGUCUGCCUGCCUCUGCCUCCCAAGGGCUGGGAUCAAAGGCGUGCGCCACCACUGCCCGGCUAUAAGGAUUUUCCAAUGUAAGUACAGGCAUGACAGUUAGUAUAGUGAGCCUCCACCCAACUUUGGGAACUGAUUACAUUGACGGUUUUGGUGGUGGUGGUUUUAUAGUGUUAUGGGCAGACCCCAGGGUCACGGGCCCUGCCUCUGGCCUACACCACUAGCCCCAGCCUCUGCACUGAUGAGCACUGUUUUCCAGGAAUAUUUUCUCUGAAAGAUUUUUUAAAAUAUGUAAGUACAGCGUAAUUAUUUAACCUAAAAAAUCUAUAUGGCAAUUUCAAAAAGGCUGCUUCCUUAGGGUUGUGGGGAAAGUCUGUUAAAUCUCCCCUCCCUCCCUGUUUACUGAUUUGUCAUCAGGGGACUACUCAUAAGCAUCCAAAACUAGCUUGACUGAGGUCAUUUCAGGGCAGUAUGUUCUCCAAGAAGUGCUCUUUUGUUCCGAACAAAUUGAAAAUGUCUUAUAGGAGGGAUCUGCAAGGGCUGAAAUAAAAGUUCUAGAAAAAAAAAAGGUUUAAAAAAAUGUAAGAAAUUUUAAAAAUUGGGAAAAUGCCUAUAUGUGGUACAAGUAUUUAGGAAAGAAUUUCAAAGUCGACAAAUUACUAGAUAUGAGCUUGGAAGGAAGGGCCAAGGGCUGAGUCUGCCUGGUUCAGUGAGGUGCUUUUCACACACAGGAAACCCAGACCCAGCAGGCUUAGAACAGCGAGUCCUGAGUUGUCCUCCAGAGGUUUCUGUGGAUAUCCUGCAGAACUGUGUGGCUGACUGUGCGUGCAGAGCUCAGGAGUGUGACUGCAUUGGCUACAUGAAAUGAGAAGGACGAUGGCAGCUACAUUAAAAAUGUCUCAGCCACAAACAGCCUGACAGAAAUAGGAGUGAAACUGGGCGACAUUACAGGAGCCAGAGAGGCACUUUUACAAGGGGUGGACAUAUACUAUGAGCUCUUUCAAAUAAAACAUCCAUAAGACAUGUUUAGAGAAUAAACCUGAGACCAGUGGAGGAUGCAUAUGGGAGUGCAGAAUAGCUGCAAAUGGGUGUGAGGGAUGAAAAGUGAUCUAAAACUGACCCAUGAUGAUGGAUGAACUUGUCAGCAGUUACUAAAAAUCAUUUAUUAAAAUGUUACAUUUAUGGCAUGUAAAGUAACAGCAUUCAAUUCCACCCAAAAAGAGCUUAGGCAAGAUGGUGAAUGAAGACUGCACUCUCUCCUUGUUGCGUGGUCACUGGUGACCAGGGUUAGAACCCAGGGAGAGGGUUGUGGUAGACACUGGAUGCAGAGGGUGGGAAAAGACAGUGCAGUGGGUGACUCAUCGCAGGUACUUACUUGAUUGUGAAACUGAAGAGAGGUUGUGGCUGGAAAGGCUGAGGUGUGUGUGUGUGUGUGUGUGUGUGUGUGUGUGUGUGUGUGUGAAGUGUCUCUUUUCACUUUUUAAAUGUGUCAGUUGUUAGGUCCCAGCUUUUGGAAGAGACAGUGCACUUGCUGCACAGAUGGCAAGAGUGUGGAUGAUGUGUAGCUUGGUGCCACAUAGAAGCACUGCCCUUUGCCCACAGAAAGGGGCUUCCCAGAUACUGCCCACCUAGCUUCUGCUCUUGCAUAAUGGGCUACAAUUGAGAUGUGCUGGGUCAUCAAGGAUGACAGGUUUACUCCCAUUCUCUAAGCGCAAGCCUUAUAUACCUCUAAAACUCAUCAGCUCCCCCAAUCUUGGCAGCCUCUUCUCAGUCCCAGUCAGGAUCAGCUGAGAUUCAUGUGUGCUCUGUGGCUUUCCUCAAGAGGCCCGCCACCACUGCCUGGAAUGCACUUUGCUAUUUGCUGUUGUCUUUGUUACCAGGUCCUAAAACUAAGGUUCAUUUCUUACCAGCUACCAGCCAGAGAGUAUUGGUUGGUUACCAAAGGCCUCCCGUUUUAACAUUCUGUCUGGCUAACUCUAACACUACAGAAUUCAAAAACACCUGGCUAUAAUGUUCUUGGUUCCAAACAGUGAUGGUUAUACUGUUUUUAUUCUCAGGAGUAAGUGCUGCCUUCAAUAGCCAAUUGAAGUUCAAGCUUCAAGGGACCAAGAGUUUGCUGCUGUGGUCCCAGCAUCAGUGAUAACGCAGACCACUAAGAAAGGCGGUUCUGAAUAGAUUGCGGAUGCCAGCAAGCUCAGGUGUGGGCCCUUCAAUUGGUGGCCCAUUCGGACCUUCCCUUUAGUCUGGAGUUCACUUUCUCACCUUGAAUUUCAGACUUAGGGUAACAGAAGGAACACUUGGUAGGGAUCAUGGCUACUUUGGGGUAUCCAGAGCUCUGGGCUUGUUACAGUUAACAGUUAAGUCCUUCAAUCAAUCAAUUCAGAAUCUUCAUUCCGUCUGGAGGCUUCUCCAUAUAAGCUAGCUAUCCUGUUUCUGUUCAGUACACAUGGAAAGCUCUCUACGAUUGUUUCUCAAAUAAACAAGGCUGUCCCACUCAGUAGGCACUGCCCACACUGGGAUUAGGCAGUUCCUAAAGGUUUAUUGUACAUUCCCUUGCUUUCUGGGGCUGUCUUUAGGGAUGGAAACUGAUACUCUUUAUCCCACAUCAGGACAGAUGUACUCCCAGGACAAGCCCAUACCACCUUCCCACUGGGAGGGACCGACCCUUGCUGACCUGAAUGAAUAGACCAUGAACUGCACUAAAUCUCAGCCCUGAGCCUUUACUCUGGCCUGGGGCCUCAUUCACAAACAGGCAGACGCUAAGUUUCCGUUAAGUUGUAGGAGUUUAUUUUAAAUAACCUACAGUUGAUUAAAAGGGAAUUCAUGAUAAAAAUAGAAGAUACUUGAGGAAAGAUGUGGGAAUGGACUCUGCA